UUGGGCCUGGAUGGCGCA
rnacentral:misc_RNA from 1 species